rnacentral:rRNA from 1 species
GAUGAACGCUGGCGGCGUGCUUAACACAUGCAAGUCGAACGAGAAGUGGAGACGGAAACCUUCGGGCGGAAGACUUUAUUUCGAGUGGCGGACGGGUGAGUAACGCGUGGGUAACCUGCCUCAUACAGGGGGAUAACAGUUGGAAACGUCUGUUAAUACCGCAUAAGACCACAGCACCGCAUGGUGCGGGGGUAAAAACUCCGGUGGUAUGAGAUGGACCCGCGUUCGAUUAGCCAGUUGGCGGGGUAACGGCCCACCAAAGCGACGAUCGAUAGCCGAUCUGAGAGGAUGACCGGCCACAUUGGGACUGAGACACGGCCCAAACUCCUACGGGAGGCAGCAGUGGGGAAUAUUGCACAAUGGGGGAAACCCUGAUGCAGCGACGCCGCGUGAGUGAAGAAGUAUUUCGGUAUGUAAAGCUCUAUCAGCAGGGAAGAAAAUGACGGUACCUGAGUAAGAAGCCCCGGCUAACUACGUG